rnacentral:rRNA from 1 species
UCCGUAGGUGAACCUGCGGAAGGAUCAUUAACAAAUCAGUGCGUAGGGUGCCGCGAGGCGCUCUACGAUAUCUACCCCGAGCUUGCUUGCGCAAGUGAGCAGGUCUGGUUGCAGUUCCUGUGGGUCUGUCUUGAUGGACUCGUAUAUGGGGGCUGUAGGCUGAAUCGCCCUAACCGGGUGUGCAGGUCACAUAGACGCUUGUAUGUUUGACAGUUUAGUUGCAUCUUAAAAAUGACAACUUUUAACAAUGGAUCUCUUGGCUCUUGCAACGAUGAAGAACGCAGUGAAAUGCGAAAAGUAAUGCGAUUUGCAUGAAUCUGUGAGUCAUCAAGUCUUUGAACGCACCUUGCACCGUAUGAGCAAUCGUACGGUAUACCUGUUUGAGAAUCGUAAAAACCUCUCUCACUCCUUGGAGUGUGGUCUUGUCGGCUGUCUGCGCUUCACGGCGCUGACUCUGAUUAAAUGCAGUAGGUCUGGAUCAGGCUGGUGGCCUGGGACAUUGUGUGCUAGAGACGUCGUGCUUGCACUGACUGUCUUCUCACGAUGCGUCCCGGGCUAUUCAAGCCAGUCUGGUGCGGCCUCUACAGACGCGCUAGCCCUCGGGCUGGCGGUCAACCCCCCAAUUUUGAUCUCAAAUCAGGUAAGGCUACCCGCUGAACUUAAGCAUAUCAGUAAGCGGAGGAAAAGAAACUAACAAGGAUUCCCCUAGUAACGGCGAGCGAAGCGGGAAGAGCUCAAAUUUAAAAUCUGGUAGGCCUCGCCUAUCCGAGUUGUAGUUUAAAGAGGCGUUAUCUGGAUGCGGCUUUGUGCUCAAGUCCCUUGGAAUAGGGCGUCACAGAGGGUGAGAACCCCGUCUGGGCACAGGACCGUAUUCUAUAUGAGGCGCUCUCUAAGAGUCGGGUUGUUUGGGAAUGCAGCUCAAAAUGGGUGGUAAAUUUCAUCUAAGGCUAAAUACUGGCAAGAGACCGAUAGCGAACAAGUACCGUGAGGGAAAGAUGAAAAGCACCUUGAAAAGGGAGUUAAAUAGUGCGUGAAAUUGUUAAAAGGGAAACGCUUGAAGU